UCAUCAUGCCCUUAUGUUCUGGGCUACACACGUGCUACAAUGGCCGGUACAGACGGACGCAAAGCCGCGAGGUGGAGCAAAUCCUAAAAAGCCGGUCUCAGUUCGGAUUGCAGGCUGCAAUUCGUCUGCAUGAAGUCGGAAUCGCUAGUAAUCGCAGGUCAGCAUACUGCGGUGAAUACGUUCCCGGGCCUU
rnacentral:rRNA from 1 species